GUAGCAGGCAACGUAACUUUGCGUAAAUAAGAGUGUACAAAGCAGGUGUAUCCCAACGCUUGAAUAUCACAGCAUGGGAUGAUGGAAUAGAACCUCCGAUUUUUUUUGUCUUUUAAUUUUGGACCCGAGGUAAUGGUAAAUAGAGACGGAUGGGGGCAUUCGUAUUAUUAUUCCUGUUGUAUAUGGCCUAACACGCUGAAGGUCCUCGGAUGCAGACGUGUUUUGAAUUUACCCUGUCCCUUUGUUAU
rnacentral:ncRNA from 1 species